AACGCUGGCGGCAGGCUUAACACAUGCAAGUCGAGCGGUAGCACAGGGGAGCUUGCUCCCCGGGUGACGAGCGGCGGACGGGUGAGUAAUGUCUGGGAAACUGCCUGAUGGAGGGGGAUAACUACUGGAAACGGUAGCUAAUACCGCAUAACGUCGCAAGACCAAAGAGGGGGACCUUCGGGCCUCUUGCCAUCAGAUGUGCCCAGAUGGGAUUAGCUAGUAGGUGGGGUAAUGGCUCACCUAGGCGACGAUCCCUAGCUGGUCUGAGAGGAUGACCAGCCACACUGGAACUGAGACACGGUCCAGACUCCUACGGGAGGCAGCAGUGGGGAAUAUUGCACAAUGGGCGCAAGCCUGAUGCAGCCAUGCCGCGUGUGUGAAGAAGGCCUUCGGGUUGUAAAGCACUUUCAGCGAGGAGGAAGGUGGUGAACUUAAUACGUUCAUCAAUUGACGUUACUCGCAGAAGAAGCACCGGCUAACUCCGUGCCAGCAGCCGCGGUAAUACGGAGGGUGCAAGCGUUAAUCGGAAUUACUGGGCGUAAAGCGCACGCAGGCGGUUUGUUAAGUCAGAUGUGAAAUCCCCGGGCUCAACCUGGGAACUGCAUUUGAAACUGGCAAGCUAGAGUCUCGUAGAGGGGGGUAGAAUUCCAGGUGUAGCGGUGAAAUGCGUAGAGAUCUGGAGGAAUACCGGUGG
rnacentral:rRNA from 1 species